UACGAAGGGUGCAAACGUUGCUCGGAAUUAUUGGGCGUAAAGCGCACGUAGGCGGCUUUGUAAGUCGGAUGUGAAAUCCCCUCGGCUUAACCAAGGAAGUGCAUCCGAAACUACAGAGCUUGAGUACUUAAGAGGAUCGCGGAAUUCCCGGUGUAGAGGUGAAAUUCGUAGAUAUCGGGAGGAACACCAGUGGCGAAGGCGGCGAUCUGGGAAGAUACUGACGCUGAGGCGCGAAAGCUAGGGGAGCAAACAGG
rnacentral:rRNA from 1 species